AAAAAUUUCAAUUUUAAUAUGAAGGGUAAGAAUUCUCGACCUCGUAGAUAAUAUAUUAGUGAGUCUUGAUGAGCGGUCA